AAAGAGUGGGAAUGAGAGAGAGAAAAAAGAAGAAGAAGAAGAAGAAAAUGGGGCUGAAAAACUUCACUGCCAUUUUUCAAAAUCAGACGACCCGUUUCCUUUCAAAGGGUAGCCAAAAAGUUCCCAUACACACCCAUUAGCGAGCUUCUUCUUUACCAAAAAAAAAACUAAAAAAAUUAGAUCAUCAUUUUCAAACCACCUUCUAGCUAGAACUGGAAACAAAAAAACAGUACAGACUCUCUCAUCAGCGCUGUCUCUUUACGCCACCCUCGAGUUACUACUAUCUUGCCCCACGUUGACUCAAGGAACCAUAGCCGCUGCUUCCACAGUACCGUUAACCUGAGGUGUUCAUUACCGGAAUCAUAACACAAGGCAGGCCAGGAGCCCACUCACAUCGUCCAUGUGCAUCUUCAGCGUGCUCGUUUUACAUUCUUGCCUCUGACCUCUCUGGACUUAGCUUUAUUCAAGCACUAGCCACUCAAAAAAAGAGUGAAGAUGAGGUACGGGAUAUCCAGUGGAGCUGUCUCCAUCAUAAUCACUCAAGGUAUAAAGCUUCUACCUAUUCUCAUGUAGUUGUAAUCUUUUACAUGUGCAUGCUACUGCAAAGGCAAGCUCCCGUUUUUCCUUUAUGUGCUAUGAAGUUAACAUAUAGUGUUGUAAGGUGUGUGGAUCGUCUUUUAAGUCCUAACCUGGUCACGGGUGUUCUUUCACUUGCUACGGGUACUGAAGGGGAUGGGGUGUGAUUUUUCCUUCAAGCGCAUAUGGUCUUGAAAACUUGAUUGCAUGUCCUAAGUUCAUGUUAAGACCUUGCCUAGUUAAUUAAGAAUGCUCUUACCCAAGGUUAAAGUUCAAGAACGGUAUGAGAAUGCUCUCUCAUUUUAUUUAGAUCGCUCAUUGAUUAUAAUAUUGUUGACUUAUUUUAUUAGAUUUUAAUGUAAUUUAAUUUCUUGACUAGAAUUAUCAGUAUAUAAUUAGUUAAAAAAUUAUUUAUGAUUUUAUGAUUUUACGAUCUGAGUUUAUUUUAUAUUUUUCGUGUCGUGUCAAAAAAUAUUUUUGACAACCUUGAACCCAGGAUCUUGACUUUAUUGAUCCACAAUCCCCAAACCAUAUUCGCAAACUAAAACUUUUUUUAUAUAGUUUAAAACAAGCACCUCGUGCAUGUAUUGAUUGCUUAGUGAAUUCUUAGUUUCUCAAUGGAUUUUAUAUUCGUAAAUUUUUAAGUGAACCCAGGUUAUAUUAUCAUGAUAACUAAAAUAAAAUGAGCUAAAUUUAUUUAUAAAAUGAGCACCACACGCUUAGAUUUAAAUUCCAUAGAAAGAUUAGCACCUGAUGACAAGUUAACUCGGGAAACAAAGGUAAUAACAAUGUUUUGAGAUUGAAUUCGACACUAGGUCUACUUAGUAGUUAGUACAUAUAAGUUGAAGGAUUGCUACCUUGACCAAUGAACUGAAAAUAUCUUUAAUUUAUAAUGAAUGGCAUACACCAUACAGUUUUACCAUAUCAACAGCAUGAAAAUUGAUAAUCGAUCCUUUAGGGAUAUUAUUCCAUUUCUUUAUUAAUUAUCAUAAAAACAUUUAUUAAAUGUGUUGUCCUCCAACUCUUUCCAUAAAAAGAAAGAGUUGUGAACCACAACAUACAUUUGAUCAUGGACAAAAGGUAAUCAAAUAGUUGCCUCCACUAGGACAAGUAAACGUGCUCGAUUUAUCAUCAAAAGCAUAACUAUAAGCUUGAGGACACUGCUGCUUGAAAGUCAUCGAAUAUUGGGUAGGAGGACAUGUUUCAGCUGUAUUAUGGUCUCCUGUGCAGCAGUACUGCGGCUGGUUAAAUGCCAAACACGCACUCUUGCAGGCAAUCACAGUCCCAUCUGAACCUUUCACUGCUAAACUAGGAUCACAAACAGCAUUCACGUUAGCUGCACAGCUUGUAGAAGGGCAGCCAGUAGAACCUCCUUGCGGGGUUACCGAAAUUGGGAGGUUAAAGCCAUCAACAAGGCUUAUAUCGUAAUAAUCUUUCCCACCAUCACCGCUUAGAGUAAAUU
rnacentral:lncRNA from 1 species